rnacentral:lncRNA from 1 species
AUGCAAGGAUGUCUUAGGAGCAUGGAAGUGUUCGUCUUUAGGUUAGUGGGGUCUUCUGGAGGUCAAACGGGUGAAACGGCACAAAUAAGCCAUAUUUGGGCCAAAUCGGUGUGUUAUAGCCCAUAGUUUUGGGGGUGUGUCUGGGGUAUGAGCUUGUUUUGGAUAAAACAUUAAUGGAGCAUGCCAAGAUAGUUGAAAAGUGAGGGAAUGUGAGCCACUAGGGUCGGCGGGG